CACACACACACACACACACACACACACACACACACUUAGCACCCACUUGGGCCUGCUGGGCGGGGGCUCUGCCAUUUUCAUUCUCAUGCCUCACUCCCUCAGUCAGGCACCUCAGGCCCCGUUCCCUGUGCCCCAAACCUCAGACACACAAAGGGCCUGACACUGCCCCUAAUACAUGGGGUUGCCCAUCUUUAGAGGGUCCCACACAGAUACAACGCCCAGGCCAGGGACAUAUGUGCACACACACCCCUGUGAGUGCACCUUCUCAUCUCCCAUCCCUUCUCAGGGUGGCCGCCCCGAGCAUCCAGGGUGAGGCUGCCUGACCCCAUCAAGGGCAGCCUCUCUCCCCAGCAGCGGUAUUUCUGGGGCUCCUUGGGCCACAGCUCCCACGGGAUUAGGCCCAGCAGGCUGCCUGGACACUGUUCAGGCACAGGCUGCCCAGGGACAGGACUUGGGCUGCUCCCCCCUUGGGAACUCAGCUCACAGGGACUUCAGUCAAUGGCCUCAGCCCUCCACAUCCAAUUUGUAUCUCUUAAUCCCUGGGGCUGAGCCACAAUGCCUCCUUUUCCUGUACUUGCUGGGGCUCUCAUAGGCCCCAGCCUGGCCUCCCACCCUAAACAGAGCUCCCACUGGGCAGCAGCUCAGGAUAGGAGUGGGGUGGGGGACAAAGCAGGGGCCAAGGCAGGAGGGGACAGAAGUGGGGUCUCUGCCCUUGUUAACUGUUCCACCCUAGAAGAUGCAAGUUGGGCAUGUGUAUGAGGAUAGGGAACAUGUGUAGGGCCUUCCAGAGUGACCCCCCAGCCUGCUGUAACCCCAUCUGUUGUGCACCUCAGGCUGGAGGCCCUGGGAGGGGUAUUGUCUACUUAGGAACCCCAUCCUUUUGUCAGGUCAUCCUAAAUGCCUGGAGCCUGGAGCCAGAGAGCAGGAAACACGGAGUCCAGGUUCAGACACUGGAAUCAGAAGGAUCUGUGACCUUGACUGAGUGACUUAUCCCAUCUGGGCCUCAGUUUUCCCACGUGUAAGAUGGGAAUGCUGCAGCCUCUCUCUCUCUCAGGGUUGCUGGGAGGCUAAAUGAGCUGAGGCACAUAAGACCCUCAGCAUGGUGCCCAGCGCAGUCAGUGCUCCCUGCCAGGCUGUGUCAAUGUUCACAAGUCAAGAACAAAGAGGGGACUUGAACUACAACCAUCAAACACACCGAUGGGGCAGUCUGUGUGUGCACCCCCUGUAUCCCUGUGGAGAGAAACUCAGGCUCUGCAGGGCUCUCUAAGGACCUUCACUUUACCAGGAGGAGCUUCUCAGUUGCCCACGUUUGUCAGAUCUACCUGAUCAUGUGACCCAGUGCUGGUUUUGGAAAGAGGGGCCUCAACCCAGAUCUCUCCCAGGGAGGUGAGGCAGGAGAAUAGGGUCCGAAAGCAGGGAACCUAAGGCCGAUGCAUGCUGACUGGCUAUCAGAGGCUACUGACUUUUCAACCCCUCCUUUGUCUGUGUGGCAAUUGAAAAAUGAAAGUACCUCUGAUUGGUCCCCUCCCACAGCCAAUCAGACUGGUCGUGGGCCUACUCUUCCCCUCCAGCAACCAAUCAGACUGGUUGUAGGCCACUACUUCAUUUGCGUAGAGUGAACCAAUGGGAAACCUCUAGAGGGUAUUUAAACCCCAGAAACUCGUGUAACCCAUGCUCUUGAACCACUUGCUCCAGGCAUCUCCCACCCUGUGGAGUGUACUUUCGUUUAAGUUAAAUCUCUGCUUUUGCUGCCUUGUUUUGUCCAAUUCUUUGUUCAAAAAGCCAAGAACCUGGGCAACUACGCUUAACUGGUAACAUAUGUUGGGGAACCAGCCAGGAGGUAAGCCCAAAGUUUAGGAUUUAUUUUUCUCUUUUUCCUCUUUCUCUCUUCCUUUCCAACUCAGGACCCUCAGGAGAUAGCGCCUAUGCACAGAGGCAACUGCAGGUUUGUGGCCAGGGCUACUCUCUGGUGAAAACAAAAGGUUUCUAUGUGGAAGCGCCUACCCCCAACUGCCCGGCUUGGGUGAGGGACCAAGUCCUUUUCUUUUUCAGUCUUUCAGCGGCCGUUUCCUAGCAGCUCCUUAGUAAUUGAGGGCAACUGGCCAGGACCACUCUCUGGUGUUACCUGAAGGCCAAGGAGUGACCGGUGAUAGCUGCCUGCCUGGAAGGGGGAAGGGCUCUUUUCCGUCUUGUCCAGUUAUCAUCCCUGAACCCUCCAUGUGAUGCAGUUGGCAGUGGCAGCCCAUCCAGGGUGAACUCAUGUUUCAGGCGAGUUAAACCUUGUUUCCUUAUGCUAAAUUCUUCCCUUCCCCUACUCAACUGGCUAAGGACAAGUCAGAGGGUUUGCGCAGAUGGUUUGUGUGUGUCAUGCGGGGGGAUUCAUAAAAGGGAAUUUAUGUACAAUUUAAUCUUGCCUAAAUUUAGAAAGUUAAAUAAUUGUUUUAAGUGGGAUAGGAAAAAAUCCAAAGGUUUGACUGAAAAUUAAUUUCUAGAAAUCAAGGCCUUCAUCCAGGGACAAGAGGGAAAGUUCAUAGUGGGCCAUCAGUGGUGGAGGAAACCAUUCCAUAGUGGUGUCAGAUCUAAGGUCAGAGACGUCCGACAGACUAAGAUGGGGCCCUAAAGAGGGAUGUCCCCCAGGACCCCAGUCAGGGCCCAGAAUUUUUCCAGGGGGAUGACCCGUGUAAAAUUUGGGUCACCUAAUGGGCCCUCCACUUUCCAAAGUCCUCUUCUCUUUUCCAGACCACUAUAGGCAACUCUCCAUCGAUUCCACCUGAUUCCUCUAUGGGCCACUCUCCAUCUAUUUCACCUGGUACCCUGCUUGGCUACAUCCUCCACCAUUGAAAUCAACUUUACCCUGACAAUCUAAAGAGAAAAUAGACCAUCAAGUUUCAGAUGAUCCUGUGACAAGGUUUCCAGCCUGUUCCAAAUGAAGGCAGCACCCCUGGCCAUCAAGAAACUACCCAGUCUCCACUCGAUAGAUAAAGGCAGGAGUUCGGGGAUCCCCAAUAGGUAGGGACUGCACCUCAAGUCAGGGUGACGCAGUUACAGAAGAAAGACCAUCAGUCACUCUGUCUCCCAUAAAGAUUUCUGGGGAUCAUGUCUCUCGGGGGAAAUGAGGCAGGAGAAUAGGGUCUGGAGGCAGGGAACCUAAGUUCGAUGCAUGCUGACUGGAUAUCAGAGGCUACUCCCUUUCAACCCCUCCUUUUUCUGCAUGGCAGUUGCUGCCUGGCAGUUGGAAAUGAAAGUACCUCGGAUUGGUUCCCUCCCGCAACCAAUCAGACUGGUUGCGGGCCACUACUUUAUGUGCAUAGAGUGAACAGAUGGGAAACCCCUGGAGGGUAUUUAAACCCCAGAAAAUCCUGUAGCCCAGGCUCUUGAGCCUCUUGCUCGAGCCCGCUCCCACCCUGUGGAGUGUACUUUCGUUUAAAAUAAAUCUCUGCUUUUGCUGCCU
rnacentral:lncRNA from 1 species